rnacentral:lncRNA from 1 species
AUAUAUUAAAAGAUAAGUCAUUUUAGUGAUUUCUACUGACGUGGCAAUCACAGAGAGCUUCUCAGGAAAAUUCUUAUAAUUCUAUUGGUUGAUUUUUUAGAAUUUUCUUUUUUUUUUUAAUUCACUCGCGUACGAGAAGUGGAAAACGCCGUCGUAUUUUUUCGAAUUUUCUUCUUCAUCUUUUUUUUAAUUCAAUCGCGCAUCAGAUGAGUUUGAAACCGAUGAAGACAGUAUGAGCAGAUGAGUUUGCUUCUCGACACUCU